AUGUGGCAAAGAAGCCGUCUCAGUUUAAUGUAGGCUGAAAACCAAUCAGAAUACUUGAAAAUCCCAAUUCUCAUCUUACUCUUCCAUCGUGGCACAUAUUUUGCCACUCCUUUUUUUCUAUUUUGUACUCUACUCAUUUUGUGAUUGUUUUCUGGGUUGCCUCCCAAGUCCCAACCCUUCACUGAAACAAACUGUUAAGCUAUGCUUUCACUCUGCUCCAUGAAAUUCUUCAGAUAGAAAAUUCUUUCAUUUUCUUUAUCAUCUGGAUCAACAAUGGCGUUUUCUUCCUCGUUCACCUCUCAUUCUGUUCUCGACCUUUCUUAUUUUCACCCGUACACACUUCGCAGAUUUCGGUUUUAUUCUUCUAAAACUAAGACAUUACGAAACCCUAAAUCCUAUCGUCUCCUUCAUAUUCGAGCUGUUAGGGAAAAUACAAUAUCCUCGAAUGAAGAAAGAGAGAUUCCCGUGAUUAAUGGCAUAGAUAGCCUCAAAUUGAAUGGAAACGGAAAUAGUUCGAUUGAGAAUUAUCUAAUAGGCAACGAUGAUAUUGAAGGGAGUAAAAAUGGUGCGACUAAUAGAAGCUUUGUUAAAUAUGUCAAUGGUGAUAGUGUUGCGCCAAAAGUUGUGGCGGAAGGAGUUUCUCCUUUCGAGGUGGAAAUUGUAGCGACGGAGAAAAAGACAGUGGAGGACAUUGGUCAAGAGGAAGCUUGGUUUAAGCGUGGUGGUUGCGAUCAGUUAGAGGUCUCUGUUGCACCGGGAGGCCGCUGGAGCAGGUUUAAAACUUAUUCAACUAUACAAAGGACAUUAGAAAUUUGGGGGUUUGUUCUGACAUUUAUCUUUAAAGCUUGGUUGGGCAAUCAGAAGUUUUCUUAUAAAGGAGGGAUGACUGAAGAAAAGAAAAGGGUGAAACGGGUAGCUCUUGCAAAGUGGCUAAAGGAAAAUAUUUUGAGGCUAGGUCCUACUUUCAUUAAAAUUGGACAGCAGUUCUCUACAAGAGUUGAUAUUCUUGCUCAAGAAUAUGUUGAUCAGCUUUCAGAACUUCAGGACCAAGUUCCUCCUUUUCCAUCAGAGACAGCUAUAUCAAUUGUUGAAGAGGAGCUUGGAGCUCCACUAAAAGAUAUAUUUGAGCGCUUUGAUUAUGAGCCAAUAGCAGCAGCAAGUCUUGGUCAGGUCCAUCGAGCAAGAGUAAAAGGACAGGACGUAGUUGUUAAAGUGCAGAGGCCUGGCCUGAAGGAUCUCUUUGAUAUUGAUCUCAAAAAUCUGAGGGUAAUAGCUGAAUAUCUUCAGAAGAUUGACCCAAAGUCAGACGGCGCAAAAAGGGACUGGGUGGCUAUUUAUGAUGAGUGUGCUAGUGUGUUAUAUCAGGAAAUUGACUAUACCAAGGAAGCAGCUAAUGCAGAACUGUUUGCUAGCAAUUUCAAAAAAAUGGAUUAUGUCAAGGUUCCUACCAUUUACUGGGAAUACACUACUCCACAGGUUUUGACAAUGGAGUAUGUUCCAGGGAUUAAAAUAAAUAGGAUUCAAGCAUUAGAUCAAUUGGGUGUAGAUCGUAAAAGGUUAGGUCGAUAUGCUGUUGAAUCUUAUCUAGAACAGAUACUUUCUCAUGGUUUUUUUCAUGCUGACCCUCACCCUGGAAAUAUUGCUGUUGAUGAUGUGAAUGGUGGAAGACUGAUUUUUUAUGACUUUGGAAUGAUGGGAAGUAUCAGUUCAAACAUUAGAGAGGGUUUGCUUGAGGCAUUUUAUGGAAUCUAUGAGAAGGAUCCAGAUAAGGUUCUUCAAUCUAUGAUUCAAAUGGGAGUUCUAGUUCCUACUGGUGAUAUGACUGCGGUGAGACGGACUGCAAAAUUCUUUCUCAAUAGCUUUGAAGAGCGUUUGGCUGCCCAAAAAAAAGAGAGGGAAAUGGCAACAUCAGAACUUGGAUUCAAAAAGCCACUAAGCAAGGAAGAGAAAACUCAGAAGAAAAGGCAACGCCUAGCUGCUAUUGGAGAAGAUCUAUUGGCUAUUGCUGCAGAUCAACCUUUCAGAUUUCCUGCGACAUUCACAUUUGUUGUCAGAGCAUUUUCUGUUUUAGAUGGAAUUGGGAAAGGGCUUGAUCCUCGGUUUGAUAUUACUGAGAUUGCGAGACCCUAUGCUCUAGAAUUGCUUAAAUUUCGUGAAGUUGGUGUUGAAGUUGUUUUGAAGGAUUUCCAAAAGAGAUGGGACAGGCAAUCUCAGGCACUCUACAACUUGUUUAGACAGGCAGAUAGAGUUGAGAAGCUCACAGAGAUAAUUGAACGACUGGAAAAAGGGGAUUUGAAGCUUCGUGUUCGAGCUCUUGAGUCUGAAAGAUCUUUUCAGCGUGUAGCUACCGUUCAGAAGACAAUAGGAUGUGCUGUAGUUGCUGGCACUUUGGUUAAUCUAGCCACACUCUUUUACCUCCACUCAAUUCGAGUGCCUGCAAUAGUUGCGUACACUCUAUGUGCAUUUUUUGGCCUUCAAGCUCUAUUUGGUUUUCUUAAGGUCAAAAAGUUGGACCAAAGAGAGAAAUUGAUUACUGGAACUGCUUGAAAAGGUGUAAUGGGCUUGUACCUGAUAGCAGCUGUAGUGCGAAAUGAAGGCGUAAUCAGAUGUAUGCAUUAUCAUUCUUGUAAUAACAAAGGUUUUUCUUGUGUGCAUAUACAUUUCAAUGACCAUAUCACGGGUUUCAGCUAUGCUACUGCUGACAUAUCACCCUUCUGAAUAUUGAAAACUGGUCAAGAGAGCAGAUUGAGGUGCACCAAUUCAUCAACUAACUUGCUUUAAAUUAGGGCUUCAUGAAGACAUAGGUUGAAUAUUUUCCACGUCCAAGAGCUUAGCUUCAAUUUGUUAGGUAGUUUCGCUGGAUACACAGUCACACGUCUAAGGAAUCCUCUAAUCAACAUUGAAAUUUGAAGUCUGCUUUGAUUAUUGCUCAUCUGCAUUUGUUCGUAAAAUAUGUAAAAGGUUGUAGUUUCUCUUAUAUCACGCUACUUGUGGUUUCAAAUGAUUAAGUAGACUGUAAAAUUUUGCCUACCUUUGUGGUUAAAGUAUAUAUUUGUAUACAUUGUAAAGAUAGAUUAGCUAUCUGCACCAACUAUAUAAACGAUACUUUAUUCUUGCUUUUAUAAGAAUGAAAAUGCAACAUAUCAUGUGGUAAGGUUGUAGAA